AGGAUUGGUGGGUCCACCGAUCCCCUUGGGGACAGUGUUGGAGCCAAAAAAGUGCAUCAAGUGACAAUGACACAACCUAAACGCACCUUCACGACAGUCCGGACCCCAAAGGACAUUGCAUCAGAGAACUCUAUCUCCAGGUUGCUCUUCUGCUGUUGGUUUCCCUGGAUGCUGAGGGCAGAAAUGCAGUCUUAAAGGCCCUGAAUACCAGACAGAGACACAGAGUCCCCUCUAGUAUCUCCUGACACAAGGAGCUCCCAGUCACCCGAGAUAGAGAUUCCCAGUAACACUUCAAGAAUAGAGACCCCCCCACACACCAUUAGCCAGCCCUUGAUCAUUGAGGUCCCAUUAUUAACAGAUCCCCCAAGAUAACCCCCCAAAUACAGACCUUACGUCACCCAGAAAUAAAUUCCCUGAGUAGCACCUUCAGGUUAGUUCCUGUCCCCAGCCUCUCAGACCAGACUCCCAAUUAACAGAUUUCCACACUCCAAAUGAUGGUGAUCCUCUCCACAUAAUGCUCUAUAACAGGACAUUCUUGAGUCACUCAUCAGUGGGGAUGAGAACCGCACCAUUAAUGAAGAUCCCUUUUCCACCUUGCCCUUGAAAUAAACAUAGAUAACAGCUCUGGAGUAGCAGACCAUGUCUCUAUCUCUGUUUAACAUCAGUGCUCUCAAGAUGUGACUUCAUGUCACCCCAAAGCCCUUACACUCCAGAUCUUCUAUAAGAGACUCCCUCCAUUAACAAAGACCUUGUUCUUAUCCCUCAAGAAGAGACCCACCUUAAUCAGCCCACCGUCACCCCCAAUGUACAGACACCAAAAUACCAAAAUUGUCCUGGAAGUGCUAAUUACAGGACCCUCAAUUCUUCCUACCCUCUGCACCCUCAACAAACCCCCAGUGCCUUGUGUGAAGCUCACCCUACAUGGCCCACAGAACCUGUGCUGGCCAGGAUCCCAGAAAAUUCUCUAUUUUUUAAGUAAUGACUUCCCCUUUUGGGGGACCCCAAAUUAGGAGAUCCCAUUCUGGGACUCUGGGGAUCCUACACCCCAGAUUAUAUAUAUCCCCAACUUCCCUGUGCCCUCAAGACCUACAGCCCCUAGAAGACCCC
rnacentral:lncRNA from 1 species